GACGAACGCUGGAGGCGUGCUUAACACAUGCAAGUCGAACGAUGAAAUGGAGCUUGCUCCAUGGAUUAGUGGCGAACGGGUGAGUAACACGUGAAUAACCUGCCCUUAAUUUUGGAAUAACCCAGGGAAACCUGGGCUAAUACCGGAUAAGUAAACCUGUGGCAUCACAUGGUUUUGGAAUGUUUUUCGAUUAAGGAUGGAUUCGCGGCCUAUCAGCUUGUUGGUGAGGUAAUGGCUCACCAAGGCGACGACGGGUAGCCGGCCUGAGAGGGGGAACGGCCACACUGGGACUGAGACACGGCGCAGACUCCUACGGGAGGCAACAGUGGGGAAUAUUGCGCAAUGGACGAAAGUCUGACGCAGCGACGCCUCGUGAGGGACGAAGGUCUUCGGAUUGUAAACCUCUUUCAGCAGGGACGAAGCGAAAGUGACGGUACCUGCAGAAGAAGCACCGGCUAACUAUGUGCCAGCAGCCGCAGUAA
rnacentral:rRNA from 1 species